GGCGGACGGGUGAGUAAUGCUGGGGAACUUGCCUUUAGGAGGGGGGAUAACCACGGGGAAACUGUGGCUAAUACCGCAUAAUGUCUACGGACCAAAGCAGGGGAUCUUCGGGACCUUGCACCUAGAGAUAGGCCCAAGUGAGAUUAGCUAGUUGGUGGGGUAAGAGCUCACCAAGGCGACGAUCUCUAGCUGUUCUGAGAGGAUGAUCAGCCACACUGGGACUGAGACACGGCCCAGACUCCUACGGGAGGCAGCAGUGGGGAAUAUUGCACAAUGGGGGAAACCCUGAUGCAGCCAUGCCGCGUGUGUGAAGAAGGCCUUCGGGUUGUAAAGCACUUUCAGUGCUGAGGAAGGAUGUAAGAUUAAUACUCUUGCAUAUUGACGUUAGCCACAGAAGAAGCACCGGCUAACUCCGUGCCAGCAGCCGCGGUAAUACGGAGGGUGCAAGCGUUAAUCGGAAUUACUGGGCGUAAAGCGUACGUAGGCGGCUUGUUAAGCAAGAUGUGAAAUCCCCGGGCUCAACCUGGGAAUGGCAUUUUGAACUGGCAAGCUCGAGUUCUGAAGAGGGUGGUAGAAUUUCCUGUGUAGCGGUGAAAUGCGUAGAUAUAGGAAGGAAUACCAGUGGCGAAGGCGGCCACCUGGUCAGAAACUGACGCUGAGGUACGAAAGCGUGG
rnacentral:rRNA from 1 species